CCCCGCCUCCCCUGUUUUCUGCCCGAGAACCAAAAUCUUCCAGUCUUCCUAGAGAGAGGAGAGAAGAGACCUGGAGAGCGGGAGGAACGUGGAGCGAGGUGAGGGUUGCAGCAAGCAUCGAGGAAUCUGCAGGAAGCUCAAGACAGAGGUCAGAGAGAUUGCUCCGUGCUGGGUAAUGGGGGUUAAGUGACUUGCCCAGAGUCAUACAACUAGUAAGUCUCAAGUGUCUGAAGCCGGAUUUGAACUCAGAUGGUAAAGCCAAAUUUGAGUAAGAGAAGUUGAUAACUAUAAAGCAAGAAAUUUCUGAAGAAUCACCAGCAGCAUACUUACAAAGUGUCCAGAGCAAUGUUUCUGAUCAACCUGAGGUUACAGCAUCUUGUAAACAGAAGGCUGGGUGGAAGAGACAGUGGGGAAACCCCACACUGGAAAGAAUGAAGGUAGAGGAAGGAGAUUUUGAAUACAAGGUUGACAUAUUUGGAGGUUUCACUGAGAUUUGAAGACCCCUGCUAAGUUGAACCCCGUUUUUUGCUUCGCACACUUGGCACCAGCAGGAAUCCUUUGUGUUCCAGCCUGGACUCAAACUCGGAGGUUCUGCCUGGAAGAUCUCCAAGAAACAGAUAAAAAUCCCAGAUUAUUCCUGGUACACUGAUGGUUCCUGCCUCCGAAAUGAUUCUGGUGAAUUAACUAGUGGAUAUGCUAGCACCACUACUGAAGAGAUCAUUGAAUCGGGACCCCUUCCUUUGGCUUCUUCAGCACAAUAAGCCAAACUUGAAGCUUUCGAAUGAACAAGAGGAAAAUGAGUGAACAUUUACAUGGCUAGCAGUUAUUUUCUAGAGACUCAAUCUUAAAUCAGCCUACCCUGCAGUUGGAACCUGCAGACUGGGUCUAUUGGAAAAGGCACCUAUGCAAGGAUUCCCUUCAGCCCAGGUGGAAAGGUCUCUACCAAGUCUGGCUCACCACCCCCUCUGCUUCAAAACUG